AUUGCCCUUUAAGCUGAAUUUAACUGCAGUAAUUGGUGUGUCCACUAGGAGGUAUAGGCAGUGUCUGAAAUUGUAUACUGUAUUGCCCUUUAAGGAAUUUAACUUUCAAAUAUCUGCUUUAAAUAUUUUUUGGUAAAUAUUCUCAAGUAAAAAUGUGAAGUUCAUAAUUACUUUUCCUUUAUCUACCUCGUUUGUAAAAAUUUAUAUUAUUUAUUUUAUGUGAUGAGGUCACUUCCUGUUAGUGCUCCAGGUUCUGCAUGAAAACAAUGAGACAGACAUAGUGUGCUCUCUCUGAUAAUCCAUUGCAUCCACUAAAAAGCAUCGUAGAGGCAAUGCCGUAAGUUCAUUUAUAUGACAUUAGACAUGUUAAUGAUCAUAUAUUAGUAAUGAUUUUGUUAAAAAUAUGAUGUUUGAUAAGUUGCUAAAAACGGUUGUUUACCAUUGUGUACAAGCUUUCAGUGAUGCUAAUAGCCAUUGUAAUCUCUACUACAGGGAGAACAGUAGUUUAUGUUUAUGUUGCAGUCAUUUAUAAUGCAAUGUUAGUCAAAACAUGGACACUGAAUAUUGCUGUAUUGUUUUAUUACAGUUUUCACCGCAAAUGUUAAUGAGGAAGAGUGACAGUAAAUGAGCAACCUUACUACGACUCUGUUUUCAUUGGCUACGGUUUAACUUGGUGUUUAGUCAGAGUUGCAACACCCUGCACGAGAACACUACAGUGAAAAGGCACCAUUUGAUGUUAAAGUGGUUAAGAUGGCUACAAGCAGUAAGUCGUCUGUGUGCAGCGCAAGAAGCAGCAAGUCAUCCGCAUCAUCGGCGAGUGCAGCCCAUGCCCGGGCCAGAGCUGAAGCCGCCAAAGUGAGAGCAUCCUAUGCCAGCCAAGAGGCUAAACUGAAAAUGGAAAAGGCCACAAGAGAAGCUCAAAAUCAGCUGGAAACAGUAAGAAUAGACACUGAGUUGGAAGUGUUAACGCUUCAACGAGAAGCUGAUGCAGCCGCUGUGGAGGCACAAGUGCUGGAAGAUGCUGAAUUAGCAAUGCAUGCUGCAGUUGAAAGAGGAGGAUCUGAAUCAGAGAAAGUUAAAAUUGACCGUACCAGUGAAUAUGUCAAUUCUCAAAUCAACCUACAGAGGCAUUCUCCCUCUCCACUCUUAUCAGCCUUACCUGUUGCUCCUCCAUUUCAUGCUGACUCACAUAACAGCUUCAUAACAUGGAGUGCACCUGCGAAAGACACUUCACAUACACAGUCUAUCAACAACAAGCCGAAGUCUGAGAAAGCUGAUAGUAUGCACUUACCUGCAACAAACCUAUCUGAUCUGUCUACAGGUGUGAUGAAGUCUGAAGUUGGGAGGACCAGCCCCAUCAUGAACACACAUGCUAAACCUUAUGUUGCUCGAUACAUUCCUCCAGCUAGCACGCCACCUCAGGCAGAGCCUUUGGCACAGUAUUUAGCACGGCGAGACCUCAUUAGUUCAGGACUGUACCAAUUUGAUGAUAAGCCUGAGAAUUAUCGGUCCUGGUAUUCUUCAUUCACCAGUGCAGCUCGUGAAGUUCACCUCACAGCAACCCAGGAAUUGGAUCUCAUGACUAAAUGGCUGGGAAAGGAAUCUGGCGAAAUGGUGAAGCGCAUCCGCUCAGUGCAUGUCAGCAACCCCAACCUUGCUUUACACAAAGCAUGGGAAAGACUACGUGAGUGUUAUGCCGCGCCGGAAAUCAUUGAAAGGUCACUGUUUCAGCGAUUGGACAGUUUUCCUAGGAUUUCAGCUAAAGACUACACCAAAUUACGUGAACUUGGGGAUCUGCUUAUGGAAAUCCAAGGUGCUAAAGAAGAUGGUUAUCUCACAGGUCUGUCAUACCUUGACACUUCACGUGGAAUCGCACCAAUUGUAGAUAAGCUUCCAUAUGGGCUUCAGGACAAGUGGGUGACUUCUGGGUCAUGGUACAAAGAAAAAAAUCACGGCCACUUUCCUCCCUUUGAGUAUUUCUGUAACUUUGUGUGCUAUGAAGCAAAGAAGCGAAACGACCCCAGCUUUAUACAUCAAAGCAGUGCUACAACAACUGCAAAACCAGACAGAUCCAUUGUGAAAAGUUUCCAUAGCAACAAACCCAUCUCAGUUCACAAAACAGAUGUGUGUGCAUCUAAUGAUGACCCAAACAAAAUCUGUCCAUUACACAAUAAACCACACCCCUUGAAAAAAUGCAGAACAUUCAGAAACAAACUCCUCGAAGACAGAAAGGCCUUCCUCAAGGAGAAAGGAAUAUGUUUUAAAUGCUGUUCUUCGGUUUCUCACCUCGCCAAGGAAUGCAAGUCUUCCGUGAAAUGUUCUGAAUGCGGCAGCACCAAUCAUGAUGCGGCCAUGCAUCCUGGCCCAUCACCUGAAGUAGUCAAGGCUCCUUCACCGUCACAAGAGGAUGGCGGGGAGGGAGAAGAUCAUUCGAACACAGCUGUUGUCAGUGCGAGCUGUACAGAAGUUUGCGGUCCAGGUCAGUGGAGCCGCUCAUGCUCAAAAAUCUGCCUCGUAAAGCUGUACCCAAAGGGUUCCAAAGACAUGGCCAUCAAAGCCUAUGUAAUUCUGGAUGACCAGAGCAAUCGUUCAUUAGCCAGACCUGAAUUCUUCGAGCUGUUCAAUGUGGAGAGCAAACAAUUCUCAUAUCAUCUCAGAACUUGCUCUGGCAUCAUAGAAACAUCUGGCAAGAAAGCAGUAGGAUUCCAGAUUGAGUCCCUAGACGGAAAAGUUCUCAUAUCUCUUCCACCACUCAUUGAGUGUCAUGAGAUCAUGAACAAUCGCUCUGAGAUUCCAACACCAAGUGCAGUUCUUUACCAGCCUCAUCUCCGACACAUUGCCAAGCACAUUCCAGAACUAGAACCGGAAGCAGAAAUACUUUUGCUACUCGGAAGAGAUGUGAUUAGGGCACACAAGGUCAGGCAGCAGGUCAAUGGACCAAACAACGCCCCCUUUGCCCAACGACUGGACCUGGGCUGGGUAGUAAUAGGAGAGGUGUGCCUGGGUAAUGUACAUAGGCCAACAGUCAACACAUUCAAGACCAAUGUGCUGGAAAGCGGCCGCCACUCAAUUUUUCAACCCUGUACGAGCUUUAUGCAGGUCAAGGAGACGCAGCAAAGCUGUAGCAUGUCUAACAAAACAACUGAGAAGACGCUUGGACAGACAGUGUUCAGCAGAACUGAGCAUGACAACAAACCUGCUCCAUCCAUGGAAGACACAGCUUUCCUAAAAGUAAUGGACACAAACGUCUACAGAAAUGAUGCUAACAGCUGGGUAGCUCCUCUACCGUUCAGAGAACCACGCCAACCCUUGCCAAACAAUAAGGAGCAAGUUGUUAAUCGACUCACAUGUCUGCAACGAACCUUGAAGAGAAAACCUGAGAUGCAGCAACAGUAUGUGGCAUUCAUGGAAAAGAUCUUCACCAACGGACAUGCUGAGGUAGCGCCGCCACUGAGAGAAGGGGAUGAAUGCUGGUAUCUUCCUACAUUUGGGGUCUACCAUCCCCAAAAACCCAAUCAGAUCAGGGUGGUCUUUGAUUCCAGUGCUCGAUACUCUGGCGUCUCUCUCAAUGAUGUGCUCCUUACAGGCCCCGACCUCAAUAACUCCCUUGUCGGUGUCCUGCUACGCUUUCGGAAAGAGAAGGUUGCAAUCCUAGCGGACAUUCAGCAGAUGUUCCAUUGUUUCUUGGUGCACGAUGACCAUCGUAACUUCCUCCGUUUUCUAUGGCACAAGGACAAUGACGUCAACAAGGAAAUUAUUGAGUAUCGAAUGAAGGUCCACGUUUUCGGCAAUCGGCCAUCUCCUGCCGUGGCCAUUUACGGGCUGCGAAGAGCCAUCAGAGAAGGUGCACAGGAGCAUGGUGCUGAUACCGUCAAGUUUGUGGAAAGACAUUUCUAUGUUGAUGAUGGUUUGGUAUCUGUACCAUCUGAAGCUGAGGCAAUCGAUUUGCUCCAACGAACACAGGCCUCACUAGCUGAGUCAAACAUCCAUUUGCACAAGUUUGCUUCGAACUCUCAGACAGUCAUGGAAGCUUUUCCUCCUGAAGAUUGUGCUCCAGUAAUCAAGGACCUAGAUCUGAGUGGAGAAACUUCUCCCAUGCAACGGAGUUUAGGUCUGCUAUGGGAGAUCACAACCGACACAUUCACCUACUCCACAUCGACCAUUACCAAACCAUUCACCCGUCGUGGAGUCCUCUCCACUGUCAACAGUGUUUUCGAUCCUCUAGGUUUAUUGGCACCUGUCACGAUCCAGGGAAGAGCCCUUCUCAGAGAACUUACCUUCGAACAGUCAGACUGGGACACAUUCCUCCCGGAGGACAAACUAAGCAAAUGGGAAGCCUGGAGAGAUUCUCUCCAAGACCUCGAACAACUUCAUGUUCUGCGUACGUACACAACAACUUCACUAACUGAAGCAGUGUACACAGAAUUGUGUGUAUUCUCGGAUGCAUCGACUAAGGCUAUAGGUGCUGUGGCAUAUCUGAAAGCACUUCAGAAAGAUGGGCAAGUCGAAGUAGGAUUUGUUAUGGGCAAGGCGAAACUAGCACCCCUGUCCGAACCUACAAUCCCAAGGCUUGAGCUGUGUGCUGCUGUCUUAGCAGUAGAGAUGGCAGAUCUCAUUGAGGAUGAGCUAGAUUUAGAGUUGAAUGACAUAAAGUUCUUUACAGACAGCAAAGUGGUGCUUGGCUACAUUUAUAACGAGUCAAAACGAUUCUAUGUGUAUGUUCACAAUAGAGUCCAACGCAUUCGUCAGUCCUCGAGACCUGAGCAGUGGCACUACGUACGUACGGAAGAAAACCCUGCAGAUCAUGCGUCGCGAUCUUUACCUGCAUCCUGCCUAGCGCAGACUUCUUGGUUCAGCGGUCCCUCCUUCCUGCGUCAGCCACCUGCAGAAAAAACACAAAUGACUGAGAAGUAUGAGCUAAUUGAACCUGAAAACGACUCAGAAAUCCGGCCACAAGUACAAACAUGUGCUACUAACCUGGAAGAACCAGAGCUUACCUCUAACCGAUUCCAGCGGUUCUCCACCUUCACCUCCCUAGUAAGAGGAGUAGCAUUUCUAGUUCACAUGGCAAAAUCCUUCAAGCACACGAACCAAAACAGCAAAUGCAAAGGUUGGCACAGAUGUGACUUACCUCGUACUCCAGAUGAAAUUGAUCAAGCAAGGAAUGUUAUCCUUAAAGCAACACAAAAGGCUGCAUUUGCAAAAGAACUGUCAGCCCUCCAAGCUAACCAAGCUGUAUCCAAAAGUAGCCGCUUGUGGAAACUCAGUCCAAUUAUGGAGGACAAUUUCAUUUGUGUUGGAGGACGACUAAAGUACUCUGAGGUUGCAACUGCAGAAAAGAACCCAAUAAUUCUUCCCAAAGAUAGCCACAUAUCCCUACUACUCAUUCGACGUCACCAUGAGCAAGUGAAACAUCAAGGCCGUCACUUGACGGAAGGAGCAAUCAGGGCAGCAGGACUGUGGAUCUUGGGAGGCAAGUCGCUAAUCAAUUCAGUACUCCACAAAUGCAUAACCUGUCGCAAGCUGCGUGGAAAGCUUGAAGAACAACGCAUGGCGGACCUGCCAUCUGAACGUCUCAAAAUCUGCCCCCCCUUUACGUAUGUGGGUCUCGAUGUAUUUGGACCCUGGUCUGUCACAAGCAGACGCACCAGAGGAGGACAGGCGGAGAGCAAGCGGUGGGCCAUCAUGUUCUGCUGUAUGAGUUCGAGAGCUGUGCACGUUGAGGUCGUUGAGUCUAUGGACGCGUCAAGUUGCAUAAAUGCUCUCAGGCGCUUCUUUGCACUCAGAGGCCCUGCGAAACAGCUCCAUUCCGAUUGCGGUACCAAUUUCAUCAGAGCGUGCAAGGAGCUUGGAAUGGACAAAAUAGUGCAGAAGUACCUCAGUGAGCAAGGAUGCAGCUGGGAAUUCAACCCACCACACAGUUCUCACAUGGGAGGCUCGUGGGAGCGCCUGAUCGGCAUUGCCAGGAGAAUCCUAGAUUCAAUGUUUCUGCAGCUGAAAACUCGCUUAACCCACGAAGUUCUUUGCACACUAAUGGCAGAAGUUACUGCUAUCAUUAAUGCACGACCACUCCUACCUGUGUCUGCAGACCCGGAACAACCAUUCAUACUUUCACCGUCAGUGCUCCUUACACAGAAGACAGGAGUUCCGCCUCCUCCUGGAGACUUCUCGGACAAGGACCUGUACACAAAGCAAUGGAGACAGGUUCAAGCUCUUGCAAACCAGUUCUGGACCCGCUGGAGCCGUGAAUACUUACCUUGCUUGCAACACAGACAGAAGUGGACAGUACCUCGCAGAAACCUUCAAGUGGGGGAUCUAGUUCUGCUCAGGGACAAGCAGAUAGCCCGCAACUGUUGGCCCAUGGCCAGAAUCUCUGCCGUAUUCCCUGGAAAGGAUGGCCAUGUAAGAAAGAUUGAGGUCACAACAACUGACCAAGGCAAUAUAAAAACCUUUCUGAGGCCAAUUGCAGAAGUUGUUCUACUUCUACCCAAAGACUGAUCUAGAGACUAAGGUUUAGCAUGCUCACAAGUUCAUAGUGACCUCACGUAGGUCAGGCGGGGAGUGUAUUGCCCUUUAAGCUGAAUUUAACUGCAGUAAUUGGUGUGUCCACUAGGAGGUAUAGGCAGUGUCUGAAAUUGUAUACUGUAUUGCCCUUUAAGGAAUUUAACUUUCAAAUAUCUGCUUUAAAUAUUUUUUGGUAAAUAUUCUCAAGUAAAAAUGUGAAGUUCAUAAUUACUUUUCCUUUAUCUACCUCGUUUGUAAAAAUUUAUAUUAUUUAUUUUAUGUGAUGAGGUCACUUCCUGUUAGUGCUCCAGGUUCUGCAUGAAAACAAUGAGACAGACAUAGUGUGCUCUCUCUGAUAAUCCAUUGCAUCCACUAAAAAGCAUCGUAGAGGCAAUGCCCUACACGUUACUCCUGCUGCCUGAUGAUGGGAUGCCUGUACCUGACUCCCUGCCUGGCCUAUCCUAAUACUCUACUUCAGCUUGGAGCUUUCACUUGAGAAUCACCUGCUGCUGCUGAGGAUGGCCCCACAUGAAUAGCCUGAAGAUUGUACUUGCCAAAUCAGUUUAUGCCAAAAUCUCUCUCAUUCUUCAGUGGAUAAUUUCACUUGGAUACUGGAGAUUUAAAGUGAAAAACUCUACUGCAAUCAGAAAAGAUGCUCAUAAUAAAGAUUCUUUCAAAACACACACAGCAGACAGUUGUGGAAGAGUAAUGACUUACAAUCGCACUAUCCAGUGUUACACAGAAGAGGAUGGGUUCCCUUUGGAGUCUGGUUCCUCUCAAGGUUCGUCCUCAUGUCAUCACAGAGAGUUUUCCCUUUUUAAAUAUACUUUAUUGAUAAUACUUCAACAUGUUACACUUAUUAACAGUACAGACAUUAUCACAGACAUCAAUACAGAGCUUCACCGCAUACAAAUACAAACAUUUCAAACAUAGUUUUUAGUCUGUUCCGAAAAAUUCACAAUCACAGUUUUAAAAAAUUGCAAAAAUGGAU